AGCAGCCGCGGUAAUUCCAGCUCCAAUAGCGUAUAUUAAAGUUGUUGCAGUUAAAAAGCUCGUAGUUGAAUUUCGGGAUCAAUAUGUCGGUCGUGCCUUCGGUACGUACUGGUAUCAUUGGUCUCUCCUUUCUGACGAACCAUGAUGUCAUUAAUUUGGUGUUAUGGGGAGUUAGGACUGUUACUUUGAAAAAUUAGAGUGUUUAAAGCAGGCUUUAGCUUGAAUACAUUAGCAUGGAAUAAUGAAAUAGGACGUUCGAACCUAUUUUGUUGGUUUCUAGGAUCAACGUAAUGAUUAAUAGGGAUAGUUGGGGGCAUUAGUAUUCAAUUGUCAGAGGUGAAAUUCUUGGAUUUAUUGAAGACUAACUACUGCGAAAGCAUUUGCCAAGGAUGUUUUCAUUAAUCAAGAACGAAAGUUAGGGGAUCGAAGACGAUCAGAUACCGUCGUAGUCUUAACCAUAAACUAUGCCG
rnacentral:rRNA from 1 species